GAUGAACGCUGGCGGCGUGCCUAAUACAUGCCAGUCGAGCGAACAGACGAGGAGCUUACUCCUCUGACGUUAGCGGCGGACGGGUGAGUAACACGUGGAUAACCUACCUAUAAGACUGGGAUAACUUCGGGAAACCGGAGCUAAUACCGGAUAACAUGUUGAACCGCAUGGUUCGACAGUGAAAGACGGUCUUGCUGUCACUUAUAGAUGGAUCCGCGUCGCAUUAGCUAGUUGGUAAGGUAACGGCUUACCAAGGCAACGAUGCGUAGCCGACCUGAGAGGGUGAUCGGCCACACUGGAACUGAGACACGGUCCAGACUCCUACGGGAGGCAGCAGUAGGGAAUCUUCCGCAAUGGGCGAAAGCCUGACGGAGCAACGCCGCGUGAGUGAAGAAGGUCUUCGGAUCGUAAAACUCUGUUAUUAGGGAAGAACAAAUGUGUAAGUAACUAUGCACGUCUUGACGGUACCUAAUCAGAAAGCCACGGCUAACUACGUG
rnacentral:rRNA from 1 species